GGGGAUAUAGCUCAGUGAUAUAGCCCUUACUUAGCAUGCACGAGGCCCUGGGUUCAAUCCCCAAUACCACCA
rnacentral:tRNA from 1 species